UCGCGCCUACGGGAGGCAGCAGUGAGGAAUAUUGGUCAAUGGCCGAGAGGCUGAACCAGCCACGUCGCGUGAGGGAUGACGGCCCUACGGGUUUUAAACCUCUUUUGUCGGGGAGCAAGACCCGCCUCGUGCAGGCGGAGCGAGAGUACCCGAAGAAAAAGCAUCGGCUAACUCCGUGCCAGCAGCCGCGGUAAUACGGAGGAUGCGAGCGUUAUCCGGAUUUAUUGGGUUUAAAGGGUGCGCAGGCGGACCAUCAAGUCAGCUGUAAAAUCGUGGGUCCCAACCCCAUCCCGCCGUUGAAACUG
rnacentral:rRNA from 1 species